GAACAGAUCAAACUUCACUCUGUGAUCCUCGAAUAUGUUUUUUGAAGAGCUCCAGAUGCACAAAGGUCGACAUUAAACCGGAAAAAGAAGAAAAGGCGAAGUUAGCACGAAAAGGAGGAAGAGCUGAGGUUUUUGAAACAGCGGCUAACUGCUGCUAAUGAAGCCGAGAUAUUUGAGUUGGUAGAAACAAACAGAUCACAGAGAAGCAAGAAGAAACGAGAGGAUUUAAAGAAGAGAAGAAACUCGUCAACGUGCUGGAAACUGUUUUCAAGCCUGAAGUUCUCUGAUCCAGAGCAGGCUUUCUACAAACAUGUCCAAAGCCCAACAGCUGAGGGACAGGCUGAAACAACUGCUGACAGCUGCUGAUGAAGAAAUAUUUAAGCUGUUAGAAGGAUUGAUUACAGACUAUGAAGAAGAAAUUCAUCGUUUAAAAGAAGAGAACAAAGGAUGGAAAGUUCUGGAAGCUGUUUUUAAUCCUCGAAUUUGCUUGUACAAAGCAGACAUGCAGCCGUUGUUGGUGA